rnacentral:misc_RNA from 1 species
GACAAAGCCUAGAACAGGUGGUACUGGGUUACUCAAGCAUCUGUGUAGGCAACGUAGCAAGGAUACACAAGCAUCAUUAGUUACACGAGGCCGCAGCGCCCGGUAUAUCUGGUGCGAGCGGCAGGCCAGGUGUCUUGAUGUGCAUUCCAUAGCCCAUUUAAGAGCCUCUGCUCCCCAAGUUUCCCGUAGAUCUCCUUGGAAAAAGAUAGCAUCCACCAUGCUCUGCACUAAAGCAGAUAAGAGUGCUGCACUUGGCAGUUCUGUUCUGACAACUGU